rnacentral:misc_RNA from 1 species
GCAAACUUGGUCAUUUAGAGGAAGUAAAAGUCGUAACAAGGUUUCCGUAGGUGAACCUGCGGAAGGAUCAUUACUGAAUAAAAUCCGGCUGGGUUGUCGCUGCCCUCUGUGGGGAAUGUGCACACCUUGCCGUUGGUUUCAUCUCCUCUUCACCUGUGCACCUCCUUGUAGACCGGAUCACCGUUUCGAUCCGCAAGCCAUGGUGUGAAGGUUGGCAGGCCUUUUUCACUGGAGGCCAGUUUGGAUGUUUUUGAGGGUCUGCCGCAGUUCCACCGCACACUUGUGGUGGAUGGCCGAUGGCUUUCCCUGGGCACAUCCGGUCUAUGCCCUUUUAUCAUACCCCCUUCCUACAUGUUUGUUGUUUCUCUCAUUUAAUAAAUACCUACAACUUUCGACAAUGGAUCUCUUGGCUCUCGCAUCGAUGAAGAACGCAGC